CGGUCUCUCUCCACAGGAGCAGAGGAGUACACAGGCACAGAUAGCAGAGAGAGAACCGUCAGGAGAGAGGAGUAAGAAGAUUUCAGAUGCAGCAGGACUGGAAACAUCACCUACCAACACCACAGUAGUAGACAGCACAGCAGAGAGCAAGGCUUCCUCAGAGAUGGGAUACGGUAACCGCUGCACACAACCCAAAGGCCCCAGGGAGCCCCCUACACAGUGGACAUGAUCAUGGCUUCUACCUAUAGCCCCCUACACAGUGGACAUGAUCAUGGCUUCUACCGAUAGCCCCCUACACAGUGGACAUGAUCAUGGCUUCUACCUAUAGCCCCCUACACAGUGGACAUGAUCAUGGCUUCUACCUAUAGCCCCCUACACAGUGGACAUGAUCAUGGCUUCUACCGAUAGCCCCCUACACAGUGGACAUGAUCAUGGCUUCUACCUAUAGCCCCUACACAGUGGACAUGAUCAUGGCUUCUACCGAUAGCCCCCUACACAGUGGACAU